rnacentral:lncRNA from 1 species
CAGAAACUCUCUUUUCCUCAGCUCAGAAUUUUAAAAGAAUGGGUCCAGACGGCGCUUUGGCUGAAAGGAAGCCACGGGCUUCUCGGCAGCAAAUCCAGCCCCUUGGUGAGAAAUUCAAGUAGGAUAGCCGAGUCUUGCAAACCGAGUAGUUGGGCUUCGGCAGAGACACGAGGGAGACAGAUCCACAAUGACACCCGCCCAAGAAAAAGUCUGGAAUAUAGGAUAGUUUUCCAAGUCCGAAGGUCCGUCCCUAUGACCCAGCUUGGCCCGCGGGCGCCUGGUCUCCCUGCUCAGGUCUUCGGUCGUGGUUGGGAUGCGGCGGAUGGAGUUAGGAAAAGCGGCGCUGUGUCUUUAAAGGGCUCUGCACGGAGCUCCCGACAGGAGGCGUGUCUCUCGCUCGCGCGCUGGUUCGCCUGGCUGGCUCGGCUGCUGCUUCCAAUUGUGCUCAGCGCGCCGCCCCUGCUUCUCAGCCCCAAGCCCCGGCCGAGUGCAGCUCAGCACUUUCUUGGGGAAAGUCGUCCCUUCCGUCUCCCAAGCCCGCCCCGGCCGCGCCGUUCCGAGCCGCGGAUAAGGUUCGCCCGGCUAGCCAACGCGCCUGCAUCUGCGUGUGUGUGUUUGGAUUUCUCAAGGAUUCUCCCCCCUCCCUCCCUUUCUCUCGCUCGCCCGACUACCAUGGAUGUCCCACCAUUCCUUGCAGUUGAAGGUUGCUCCUUGGCGCAGUGAAUGAAGAUCAUGCAGGGAUUGCUAAUGGCUUUGGGAAGCGGAAAGUCUCUCCCCUCGGUGUGACCAUGCCGUGAUCGCAUCUCAGGGCCAAACACUUCGAGGCUCCUCGGCGCUUUUAUCCGACCGUAGGUGGUGGUGGGGGAGACCUGACGCUUAAGCAAGGGGGCCAAGAGGAGAGCGACGCGUGUGUGCGUAGGGAACACCAUGAAGAUUAUUUCCCCGAUUCUAACUCAUCGAGUCUUCAGAGGCACCAUUCGGCUCCUGCUUUGCUUACUGUGGAUUGAAUGUUCCCAAGGAACCACGCAUGUGUUGAGAUUCGGUAAGGCGGCUUUGGCGAUCGUUUGCUGGCAUCGUUAUGUGUCCCUAGG